AGAGUUUGAUCCUGGCUCAGAUUGAACGCUGGCGGCAGGCCUAACACAUGCAAGUCGAACGGUAGCACAGAGGAGCUUGCUCCUUGGGUGACGAGUGGCGGACGGGUGAGUAAUGUCUGGGAAACUGCCCGAUGGAGGGGGAUAACUACUGGAAACGGUAGCUAAUACCGCAUAACGUCGCAAGACCAAAGAGGGGGACCUUCGGGCCUCUUGCCAUCGGAUGUGCCCAGAUGGGAUUAGCUAGUAGGUGGGGUAACGGCUCACCUAGGCGACGAUCCCUAGCUGGUCUGAGAGGAUGACCAGCCACACUGGAACUGAGACACGGUCCAGACUCCUACGGGAGGCAGCAGUGGGGAAUAUUGCACAAUGGGCGCAAGCCUGAUGCAGCCAUGCCGCGUGUAUGAAGAAGGCCUUCGGGUCGUAAAGUACUUUCAGCGAGGAGGAAGGCGUUGUGGUUAAUAACCGCAACGAUUGACGUUACUCGCAGAAGAAGCACCGGCUAACUACGUGCCAGCCGCCGCGGUAAAAGGG
rnacentral:rRNA from 1 species